rnacentral:rRNA from 1 species
UGGUGCCAGCAGCCGCGGUAAUUCCAGCUCCAAUAGCGUAUAUUAAAGUUGUUGCAGUUAAAAAGCUCGUAGUUGAAUUUCGGGGUUAGUAAGUUGGUCAUGCCUCCGGUAUGUACUGGCUUUACUGAUUCCUCCUUCUUGAUGAACUGUAAUGUCAUUAAUUUGGUGUUGCAGGGAAUCAGGACUGUUACUUUGAAAAAAUUAGAGUGUUUAAAGCAGGCAUACGCUUGAAUACAUUAGCAUGGAAUAAUGAAAUAGGACGUUUGAUCCUAUUUUGUUGGUUUCUAGGAUUGACGUAAUGAUUAAUAGGGAUAGUUGGGGGCAUUAGUAUUCAAUUGUCAGAGGUGAAAUUCUUGGAUUUAUUGAAGACUAACUACUGCGAAAGCAUUUGCCAAGGAUGUUUUCAUUAAUCAAGAACGAAAGUUAGGGGAUCGAAGACGAUCAGAUACCGUCGUAGUCUUAACCAUAACCUAUGCCGACUAGGAU